AGUGAACGCUGGCGGUAGGCCUAACACAUGCAAGUCGAACGGCAGCACAGUAAGAGCUUGCUCUUACGGGUGGCGAGUGGCGGACGGGUGAGGAAUACAUCGGAAUCUACUUUUUCGUGGGGGAUAACGUAGGGAAACUGACGCUAAUACCGCAUACGACCUACGGGUGAAAGCAGGGGAGCUUCGGACCUUGCGCGAUUGAAUGAGCCGAUGUCGGAUUAGCUAGUUGGCGGGGUAAAGGCCCACCAAGGCGACGCUCCGUAGCUGGUCUGAGAGGAUGAUCAGCCACACUGGAACUGAGACACGGUCCAGACUCCUACGGGAGGCAGCAGUGGGGAAUAUUGCACAAUGGGCGCAAGCCUGACCCAGCCAUACCGCGUGGGUGAAGAAGGCCUUCGGGUUGUAAAGCCCUUUUGUUGGGAAAGAACAGCAGCAGGUUAAUACCCCGCUGUUCUGACGGUACCCAAAGAAUAAGCACCGGCUAACUUCGUG
rnacentral:rRNA from 1 species